rnacentral:rRNA from 1 species
UACAGAGGUCCCAAGCGUUGUUCGGAUUCACUGGGCGUAAAGGGUGCGUAGGUGGUCGGGUAAGUCUGAUGUGAAAUCUCUGAGCUUAACUCAGAAAUGGCAUUGGAUACUAUUCGGCUAGAGGGUUUGAGGGGGGACUGGAAUACUUGGUGUAGCAGUGAAAUGCGUAGAUAUCAAGUGGAACACCAGUGGCGAAGGCGAGUCCCUGGAAAACUCCUGACACUGAGGCACGAAAGCUAGGGGAGCAAACAGG